GAAAAUAGCUCAGUGGUAGAGUAUCGGUCUUUUAACUCAAAGGUCGCCGGUUCGAUCCCCUCGCG